rfam:Pseudoalteromonas marina DSM 17587 strain mano4 contig013, whole genome shotgun sequence.
AGGGCUAGAAGAGGUGCGUUAUUCAGGUAGCGUAUGUUAGGAGCGCAAACUCCAGUGAGCAUACGUCAGGGGAAUACCGCCGAGAGGUAAACGCUUUUGCGAAGCAAUUACUUCGGGCGACUAGGUUGAAUCCUAGCGACUGUCACCAAUAGCUGUUUUAAAACAGCUUAUUAGUUUGGUGGAGAGCUUCUGGUCUU